UAAGCGAUGUGCGAGCUGCCGUAGGGGUGAGCUCGCUUCGGUAACCUCUAACGCUGGUUUUGACCUCGGUGUUAGCGUGCUUGCUGGAACCCGGCUACGCUCAGCGUCGUCUGCUCGAAAGACCCCUGCCUUGGUUUUGGGAGAGGAGUGUUGGAUUGUCUGCCCGAAACCUCUCAGUUCUUUUUAUCCUGGUAUUUUUUUCCUUCACCCUCUUUGCUUGUUCUAAGUUGGAAUGUUUGAUUGCUGAGUGCAUUGUCCUUCAGUGAGGGGCUUGAGGCAGAAAGUUCUCGUUUAUUUUCCCUUUCUGCUGAGGGGCCUUUUCUUGUGGAAAUAAUCUGGGCGACUCCAGCCAGUGAUGUAAUGUUUUCCUGGAGCAGGGCCACUUUUGAAACAGCUCUCCAGAGUGCAUCGUGCCCUCUGUCAAGCGCGCUCCGUGCAGCGCUUUGUGUUUACUGGCUACGUUUUACUCACACACUUGCACAGUUUCGGUCCCGAGUUUCCAGAUUCGACAGUGUGCCCGAAGUCAAACCUGUGCUCGUGUACUUUUCUGUGCACUUGGGCGUUUCUUUGGUUUCUUACGAAAAGAAAGAACAGGUGGAUUUUAGAUUCAGUGCUCACUGCGGUUUCUGUUCUCAGUGCUGAGUCUCGGUUACUGGAAGCAGCGGUGAAGUGUUUCCUCUUCCUUUAUUUCAGCCCUCACUCAUCUCCGGUGCCUGUGACUCCAGAGCUUGCUUUCUUUCCUUUUCUGUUCUCGGGCAGCAGUGAGUAUGAAAAAGAGCCGUCAGUUUGAGCCCUUGCGUAAUCUCGGUCUCACACCACCUUCUGUCUGACUGAGCGGUUUCGGUCACACCCCUCACAGUUGAGGGAUUUCCAGGGUUGUUGGCCCUCCUGGUCACUGAGUCCAAGGUUGAAGGUCCACGGUACCUAACUGCCCCGACUAGAAGGUGAUUCAUCGUUAGGUGUAGUUCUGCAGAGAGUGUGACAUCAGAGAGGAAGAGGAAACAUUGCAGGAUCCAAACUACUGGAUACAGGUGCACCGGCUGGAACACGGGGAUGGAGGGAUUCUCGACCUUGACGACAUCCUGUGUGACGUGGCCGACAAUAAAGACAGAACAGCUUGGUGCAUAGCAGGUGCUCAGGAAUAGUUGAUGGAAGAAGCAGGUUAUUCUCUGCGUCUUGCGAAGCUGAGGCUCCUGGUGCACUGUUGGACUGUGUAUGUUUUCUGAACCAGAAAGGAGGAAGCAAAGGCCCCAGUUUUGAGUUUUAGUGUUUGGGAGCCAACAAGAACCAUAUCAUUAAACAACAAGCCAAACCAACGUGAAACUAAGCUCUUGGCAUUAAAAACAAAGGCAACAAAAGCAAAGAUAAACAAGCGGGACCACAUCGAAUCAGGCGGUUCUGCUCAGCAAAGGAGAAGGCGGCUACGGAGUGGGAGGAAAUGUUCGGAACCACAUACCUGACAAGGGGUGAUGUCCAGAGUGUAUGAAGAACUCAGAGACUGAAACAGCCAGACAAUCAGAUCAAGUAAUGGGCUGAGGAACUGAACAGACACUUUUCCAGAGAUGACAUACAGAAUGGCCACACAGAAGCAGUGUGCUCAGCAUCGCUGACCUUCAGGAAAACACAAACCACACCCACAGCAUCACUUCACACCCGUGAGCCCGGCUGUUGCUGGAAGCCAGACGAGUGUCGGCGAGGACAUGGCGGGAGGGAGCCUUGUGACUGUGGCUGGGGAUGUAAGUUGGUGCAGCCUCUGUGGGGAAGAGUAUGUAAGUUUCUUGAAAAAUCAAAGCUAGAUAGAGCUACCAUUGGGUCCAGCAAUCCCACUUCUGGGUGUUUAUCCAAAGAAAAUGGUCACUGUCUUGAACAGGCGUCUGCAGCCCCACAUUCACUGCAGUGCUGCCCACAACAGCCGAGAUUCGGACAUAAGCCAGGCGUCCAUCCACGGUGAACGGAUAAAGGACGCACACAGACACAGGAACAUUCAGCCACAAGGAGGAAGGAAACCCUGUCAUCUGUGACAACGUGGAUGGACACCUGGCUUGGUGGACAUCAUGCGAAGUGCGGUUACUGCAAGAUAUUGACUACAGUUCCCUGUGAUACACAGUAGGACCUUGCUGUUUAUCUGUUUUAUGUAUAGAAUAUCUGAAAAUCUCGAUUCAAAGGGCUGGUCUUUCAGGUUUUCCUUUAUCCAGGAAGUUCCCUUACAUGGCCUGGACCCCUCAUUGUAAGGCCACGUGAGACUUUCCAGAUACGACCCAUGAUGUGUUAAGGACAUAUACUCAGCCAAAAUAGUAUUUUCAGCUACUGGUGUGUACGUGGUUGUGAAAUGUUUAUCGACUAAGGAAAGAGGUAAUCCACAGAGCUGGGGGGACAGGUGUGGAGCUGAAAACUCAGACACCUGUGAAAUAGGACCCUGAGGGUGGAGGUAAAAUCCUGCAGGAUUUCUGAAGUGGCAUCUUUCCCCGCCUCAUCUUUCUUAACUCACUUACAAACCAAACCACAGGAGAAUGACAGGUCUAACAGUUUGUCACCACUUGUGGGGGAGGUGAGUCUUACAGAGCGCUAGGAACCUGGACGGAGUGAGGAGGUGAAUAAGGCCUGGGAGGGUCAUGACCUAGCUAUGACACACAAGGGGCAUUGUUACAGUGUGAGGAGUGCACCUGGGGGCACAGGGGCGGCAGAAGGGACGUGCCCCUCACCCAGGCAAGGACCACUGCGCCCACCCCAAGGGUGGCUGGCGGGCAGAGGCAAUGGUGGUGAGCUGGGAGCCUGGCCGGGGGCUGCUGGGGAUUGGGGGGUCUGGGAGUUAGGAGAAACGUCUGUCGGAAAGCUUGGCCAACAGAGACCGAAGCCAGGGAGACAGCAAGGCUAGGGACCCCAGGUGAUCUGAGCAGAAGGCACCUAAACUGAGAAUAAACAAGAAACUGACAGUUAAAUCGGCAGAGGGUCACUGGAGGGAGCAUGGGGACAUCGCGACCACGAGGCUCCCCUGUGCACCUUGACCUGGGAAGGUGCUCCCUCGCUCUGUUGGCCCCACGCCCUGGCUCCUGGGUCACGUCAGGUGUGCUGUCACUCCAGGUUCACGGCGAGGAAGCUGGGCAGUGAGCCCGAGCCCCCCGGGCACAGGGACACCAGGAGCUGAGCUGGGACUGGAACCACCCACUCUGGAACUUUUUGCCGCCAGGCAAUGAAGCGAGGGCUUUUGCAUCUAUGUUUGAAUCUACAGUGGAGAUUUCAGAAAAUCACAAAAAUGUGACUACACCUUCCUCUCAUGACCAUGCAUCUGACUCAGCAUUCCUGCUGACACCUCCAAGUCUGUCUAAGCAAGCCAGGACUUCAGGGAGAAGAGAAUCUGGAAUCAUGGAUUUCUGUUUGGGUCAGAGCACAGGGCACACCCCAGAUGCCACGCCUCCUACAACGUGGACUCCACUCCUGCCGUGGCCCCCACCCACCGGCCAGGCCCAAGUGGAACCUUCCCCUCCAUCGCUCUGACUGCUACCUCCCCUCUUGGAGGGCCAGUGUCAAGUCCAGGCUCGUAUCAGGACUAGGUGGAGAAAGCAGUCAGUUGGCAAACCCUAAGACAAGGGUUUUCCCGCAAGACAAGGAUUCUGAGCACUGGCCAGGCUUGGGGGUGCCAGGCAGGCUUCAGAAGAACACCAGGGCCUGGGCCUGUCUGAGCUCAGGCAGAUGCCCUCGUGGCUCAGCAUCACAGCCCGCGCGGGUCAGCGCCUGGCCAGGCCUGUCACCAGGCACACAGGCUGGUGCCUCCUCUAGACCCAAAUCCAGACUAAAGCUGAAUGGAAGGAACAUUUGGGACCCCUCAGUUACCUGACACCAAACAGCCCCAUCUGCAAAUCCUGGGGACUCCUGUGAGACUUGAUGUGUUGAGAAUGAAGCAGCAUGAGGAUCACACCUAAACUUUCACAGAUGGUCAGCGUGAGUCCAUCACAAACCGAGAAUUUGGCUGAUUAUUGUUGGGACUGAGGAACCUGAGAGUUUGGAUUAUCCUGGAUGCCUUUCCUCUGGAUUCUCUACGAAGCAGACUGAGGAAACACUGUACUGACCUGGGGCCUCUCUGCACCAGUCUUUUUUGGAAGAGUUCUCAGGUACCUUGACCCAAGCAUGAUGUGAGGAA